rfam:Medicago truncatula strain A17 chromosome 1, whole genome shotgun sequence.
GGAUGGAGUGAUGAAUAAUUUGUUUCCUAUUGGUUUGACCGCCAGAAUGAUGGCAAAUUGUAUUAGCUCUAUCUGACCAUUC